CCAGUGACAUGGAAAAUGAAUGGGUUGAACAGGAUGAACCAGGGGUUUACAUCACUAUUAGAACACUUCCAGGCAGCACUCGAGAGCUUAGACGUGUCCGAUUCAGCCGAGAAAGGUUUGGAGAAAUGCAUGCAAGGAUGUGGUGG